rnacentral:pre_miRNA from 1 species
GUGACAGAAGAGAGUGAGCACACAUAGUGUUUUCUUGCACGAUGACGUUUCAUGCUUGAAGUUAUGUGUGCUUACUCUCUAUCUGUCAC